rnacentral:lncRNA from 1 species
AUGAUUAAUUUGCCUCUUAUUUUUUCCUUGCCUCAUUCGAGUUUGGUUCACAUGGAUAAAAGCCUGAGUACUGAACAUUCCUCUUAUGUACAAGCCGUGGGCAUGGCUAUCUCUACACCUAGAGAUGUGGGUGGGUGUAACUCUGGACAGUAAGAUGUGGGCACAACUAAUACUAUGCAAACUCCUCAACAUUGUGAUGUUGUUGCCACUUCUACUCACAUUAAU